rfam:Echinostoma caproni strain Egypt genome assembly, scaffold: ECPE_scaffold0002144
GCACUGCUGACGAUUCCCAAACAGGACGAAAUAGCUGUCCAGUGC